CGGUACGUGGACAGGCGGUUAACCAAUGUUUUAAGGUGGUCAAACCAACGCAUCAUACUUUUGGAGCACGAUGCCGGGGGUUCAAAUCCCUCCGCCCCGACCA
rnacentral:tRNA from 1 species